GGCUCCGAGUGGCCAAGUGGUCUAAGGUGCUCACCUUUACAGAUCACUAACAUCUCACCUAUGUUUGCAUGGGUUCGAGUCUCAGUUUGGCCA